AACCAACCUGCGGGCACCCACCCUGGACCCCCCGCCCCGGGCCGCUUUCCUUCUGGGGUGGGGACCUGCGGAUCUGCUGGCAACCUUCUUUUACAAACACUUCUCUCGCUCUAUCCCCUAGAAGCCCCCGCCCCUGGGAAAUGUCGAUUCAGAAGAGGACCAGGGACGGAGCGGACCCUAAAACGUGGCAAGAGCAGAUGCCAGACCCGACUCCGGAAUCCGCCCCCCGGGCCGAAGAACGAUCAGAAGGAAUCUCUCUUUUCCUAGACCGGCUCUAUCCCUCGCAUCAUCGAUGUAUCGGAUUGUUCGAAGUAUUCGGGUGGCGGAGUUGAAACAGGAUUGGCAAGCAUAUACAUCUCGCAAACAGCUGAGCCAGAGGGUGUGCAUGGGCCUACGGUCACAGUUACGAGCCUCUGAUUACUGACAAUGACAAGUUUGCUAAGUGGCUGAGCUUCCGAAAGAUCUCGAUCCACCUGCUGGGGAAGAAAAUUCAUCAGCUGAUUAAAUCCUUAGUCUAAACCAGGCCAAGAGAGAAGGGGUUAGGCUGUGCAACUAAGUGGCUUACUUCAAAAAUACUCUCCAGACUUCAGUCAAGGCUCGGGUGGAUAAAGACGGUUCCUAUUUAAUGGACUAAUACAUUCCUGAAUCCUGCAUACAAGGGUAAUCAGGACCCGAGGAGACAGAAUAAAAUACUUUUCCUUUCUCAGGUGGUUAGGAAGAAAUUGAAUUUUCAGGGCUUAUUAAUUUUAUCUGCUUGUCGUCAAUGUUUUUGCUAGUGGGUUCAGGUGAAAAGGACUGCUUUAUGAGGCCAAGUUUUAGAGCAAACCUGGGGAGAUCACCCUUUGUAAAUGAGGGCUUUGGUGUUGUUAUAGAGAGCACACAUUCACUCAAUCGUAUUUAUUGAGCGCUUACUGUGUGCAGAGCACUGUAUUAAGAGCUUGCGAAGCACACAUCUUUUCUGUACUACAGUACAGCCAUCAGCCUGCCAUUUUUUUUUAUUAAAUGGUAUUUGUUAAGCACUUACUAUGUGUCUGGCACUGUACUAAGUGCUGGAGUAGAUACAAGUUGAUCAUAUUAACUGAUUUUACUGUACUGUUCAGUAUCACAAAAACAAAAGUCCUUGUGAUUGUGAAGGGUCAUAAAGCUAAAUAUUAGCUAUCAACAUAUUAUCUAGGCAUUAUAAUCUCAUCCUUUCUCCACCCACUGCCCCACCAUUGUCUGAUAGGCUUCUAUUUGCUUUCUUUUUUUUUUUUGCCUAAGCCUCUUCUCCCUUUUAUCUUCACAUUCACAAUUUCACAUGCUAGCUGAAAUCCCUGCAAUCAGUUUAUGACACCAUGCUACUUUUACUUGAAUAGCUUAUACUCCCUAUCUAUUAUCUUGCAAAGUCAUUGAUACUGUCAUAUCAGAAGAUGCUGCUGUUACUUUGAAAUAUCCAUUACCUCUGAUGCAAAAGCCCUGCAAGAAAGGUUGUAAAGAAGACAGAGCAUGUUUAGACAGCAAACAAAAGUGGAAAGGAGCUCAUUAUUUGAGUUUGUAGGACUUAGUUGUGAGAAAAUGGAUGCCACCUGGUAGAACUGGCAAAAAGCUUUUAAUGGAUUUUUGCCAUUGCUAACAGUAAAGUCUGAAUUGACUCACCUAUUACCAAAAGUCCAAGUUGAAAAUGAUUUAAUGUGACUUAGGUGCUCAUCUCUCCUUUCCCCACCCAGCA